rnacentral:other from 1 species
UCCCUGGGGUGUUUGCCAGUCGAUAAAGACCUGAGCCGAUGCACUUUAUUAUGGAAGGUUUCAUUCGCUGAUGUGAGCAAGUCCGCCCGACGGAAAGCCUAAUUCAGAGUCUGGCCUGCCACCUUGGACCAAAGGGUUCAAGGGCUUUAUUUAUGACAGCGGCACAGUGGGGAG